rnacentral:rRNA from 1 species
AGUGAACGCUGGCGGUAGGCCUAACACAUGCAAGUCGAACGGCAGCACAGGAGAGCUUGCUCUCUGGGUGGCGAGUGGAGGACGGGUGAGGAAUACAUCGGAAUCUACUAUGUCGUGGGGGAUAACGUAGGGAAACUUACGUUAAUACCGCAUACGACCUACGGGUGAAAGCAGGGGACAUUCGGGCCUUGCGCGAUUGAAUAAGCCGAUGUCGGAUUAGCUUGGUGGCGGGGUAAAGGCCCACCAAGGCGACGAUCCGUAGCUGGACUGAGAGGAUGAUCAGCCACACUGGAACUGAGACACGGUCCAGACUCCUACGGGAGGCAGCAGUAGGGAAUUUUGGGCAAUGGGCGCAAGCCUGAUCCAGCCAUACUGCGUGGGUGAAGAAGGUCUUCGGGUUGUAAAGCCCUUUUAUUAGGAAAGAAAUCCAGCUGGCUAAUACCCUGUUGGGAUGACGGUACCCAAAUAAUAAGCACCGGCUAACUUCGUGCCAGCCGCCGCAGUAA